rnacentral:rRNA from 1 species
UGGCGGCGUGCCUAACACAUGCAAGUCGAACGAGAAAGGGGAGCAAUCCCUGAGUAAGGUGGCGACCGGGUGAGUAACACGUGACUAACCUACCCUCGAGUGUGGAAUAACCCCGGGAAACCGGGGCUAAUACCGCAUAACAUCGCAAGAUCAAAGGAGCAAUUCGCUUGAGGAGGGGGUCGCGGCUGAUUAGCUAGUUGGCGGGGUAACGGCCCACCAAGGCGAAGAUCGGUAGCCGGCCUGAGAGGGCGCACGGCCACACUGGAACUGAAACACGGUCCAGACUCCUACGGGAGGCAGCAGUGGGGAAUUUUGCGCAAUGGGGGAAACCCUGACGCAGCAACGCCGCGUGGAGGAUGAAGCCCCUUGGGGCGUAAACUCCUUUCGANCAAGACGAUAAUGACGGUACUGGUGGAAGAAGCACCGGCUAACUCUGUGCCAGCAGCCGCGGUAAUACAGAGGGUGCAAGCGUUGUUCGGAAUUAUUGGGCGUAAAGGGCGCGUAGGCGGCGCGACAAGUCACCUGUGAAAUCCCCGGGCUUAACUCGGGGCCUGCAGGCGAAACUGUCGUGCUGG